rnacentral:rRNA from 1 species
UGGCGGCGUGCUUAACACAUGCAAGUCGAGCGCGCCCGAGCAAACGGGUGGCGCACGGCGCACGGGUGCGUAACACGUGGGCAACCUGCCCUCGGAUGGGGAAUAACUCGCCGAAGGCGAGCUAAUACCGCAUAACACUCAUUCAAAGUCGUAAGACUCCGAGGAGGGGCCCGCGCCCGAUUAGCUAGUUGGCGAGGUAACGGCUCACCAAGGCUAUGAUCGGUAGCCGGUCUGAGAGGAUGGCCGGCCACACUGGAACUGAGACACGGUCCAGACUCCUACGGGAGGCAGCAGUGGGGAAUCUUGCGCAAUGGGCGAAAGCCUGACGCAGCGACGCCGCGUGGGGGAUGAAGCUUUUCGGAGUGUAAACCCCUUUCGACCGGGACGAAACUGACGGUACCGGAAGAAGAAGCCCCGGCUAACUUCGUGCCAGCAGCCGCGGUAAUACGAGGGGGGCGAGCGUUGUUCGGAAUUAUUGGGCGUAAAGGGUGCGUAGGCGGUUUGGUAAGUCUUGUGUGAAAUCUACAGGCUCAACUUGUAGUCUGCACGAGAAAUUGCCGGGCUUGAGUGUGGGAGAGGUGAGUGGAAUUCCUGGUGUAGGGUGAAAUGCGUAGAUAUCAGGAGGACACCUGUGGCGAAAGCGGCUCACUGGACCACACUGACGCUGAUGCACGAAAGCUAGGGGAGCAACAGGAUUAGAUACCCUGGUAGUCCUAGCCCUAAACGAUGACUGCUUGUUUUGACGGGUACCC